rnacentral:rRNA from 1 species
AUACGGAGGAUCCAAGCGUUAUCCGGAUUUAUUGGGUUUAAAGGGUGCGCAGGCGGAAGAUUAAGUCGGCGGUGAAAUUUUGCAGCUCAACUGUAAAAGUGCCAUCGAUACUGGUUUUCUUGAGUGUGGAUGAAGUAGGCGGAAUUUGUGGUGUAGCGGUGAAAUGCAUAGAUAUCACGAGGAACUCCGAUUGCGCAGGCAGCUUACUAGGCCAUAACUGACGCUCAGGCACGAAGGCGUGGGGAUCAAACAGGAUUAGAUACCCUGGUAGUCCACGCAGUAAACGAUGAUUACUCGCUGUUUGCGAUACACAGUAAGCGGCUUAGCGAAAGCAUUAAGUAUUCCACCUGGGGAGUACGUUCGCAAGAAUGAAACUUAAAGGAAUUGACGGGG